rnacentral:tRNA from 1 species
GAGGGUGCAGCCCAGCGGCAGGGCACGUGCUUAGCAGGCACAGGGUCCUGGGUUCAAUCCCCAGCACCUCCA